GUGGGGAAUAUUGCACAAUGGGGGAAACCCUGAUGCAGCAACGCCGCGUGAGUGAUGACGGCCUUCGGGUUGUAAAGCUCUGUCUUCAGGGACGAUAAUGACGGUACCUGAGGAGGAAGCCACGGCUAACUACGUGCCAGCAGCCGCGGUAAUACGUAGGUGGCAAGCGUUGUCCGGAUUUACUGGGCGUAAAGGGAGCGUAGGCGGACUUUUAAGUGGGAUGUGAAAUACCCGGGCUUAACCUGGGUGCUGCAUUCCAAACUGGGAGUCUAGAGUGCAGGAGGGGAAAGUGGAAUUCCUAGUGUAGCGGUGAAAUGCGUAGAGAUUAGGAAGAACACCAGUGGCGAAGGCGACUUUCUGGACUGUAACUGACGCUGAGGCUCGAAAGCGUGGGGAGCGAACAGGAUUAGAAACCCCAGUAGUCC
rnacentral:rRNA from 1 species